rnacentral:lncRNA from 1 species
UAAAACUAGUCUAGGUUCUAUUGAAAUUUCGGCAGCAUCUCCCCUAAAAAUAGGACUAUCUACCUGUUUAAAUAUCACAAUAAUAUAUAUAUUAAUACACACAGCCCAUCCGUCGGGCAAUCAAUCAAAUCGAAUUCCCGUCCGCCUUUAAAUGACAAUAUCACCAUUUAACAUCCAUAACAACUUACAUGAGCUUAAUUCAUAUUCUAAAUAACAUCAUUUAUCAGUCAUUGGAUACAUACGUAUGUAUAUACAAGCAUAUGUGCAUAAUUAACUUUCAUGAUUAAUUCUUAUUCCAUAUCUUUUCAUUGGUACC